CAGAGUUCUCGCCCUCGCGGGUAGAUCUCCCACCCUUUGUCAUCGCUACCGUGUUGCUUUGGCGGGCCGCCGGGCCCAGCCCGGCCGCCGGCUCCGGCUGGCGCGCGCCCGCCAGAGGCUCCGCAAACUCUGAAUGUCAGCGUCGUCCGAGCACUACACAAUAGUUA
rnacentral:misc_RNA from 1 species